AGUUUUCUGUCCGAGUACUUUGUCAGUUUAUGAGAGUGGAGUCUUGUAGUCACCUACUAUGAUUGUUCUGGGUCAAUCUGUGACUUUACGUCUGGUAGUAUUUAUUUUCUGAAACUGGGUGCAGCUGUGCCUGUGGCAUACAGGGUUAGAAUAGUAAUGUCCUCCUGGAGAAUUGUCCGUAAUCAGUAUGAGCUGAUUGUUGUCUUUUCUCACUACUUUUUGUUUGGAGUCUGUUUUGAUAGCUAUUAGUAGAACAAUUGCUCCCCCUUACAUCCCCGUACCAUGUGCUUGGAAUAUCCUCCCAUCCUUCCACCCUAAGUUACUGAGGCUAAAGGGUCCGACUGUCAUUAAUGGGCUACAGCAUUGGCAUAGCGGCAAUGCCCAGUAGCUGUGGUUGCUCCUGCAGCUAAGAUUUUCCUCAGGGGAUAGAAUAGAGUGUAUACAUACAGCAGGCAACCUGGACAUCUGGACUGAACUAUUUUCUGGACUGUGCACUUCGACUCUACCACAACUGAGUCCUUCGUGAUUAUUGCAAGUGCUUCAACUGAGGGGGCUGUGGAGGCUGAAGAUCAUCUUUAAAAGAAAGAAAGAAAUCAAGGUGGAAAGAGGAGCUGGAGACGAAGCUUGGAUACUUUUGGACUGAUUUCAGAGACUAUCCAAGAUAUGGGAGUCGUUAAAAAGUUUUUUAAAGGAGGAAGUAAAUAUGAGAGAAAGGAAAAGACUAAGAGUACAGGGGAGAGCAUGAGAAGUGACCAGCAGUACAGUGAGGAAUGCCUUACAGGAGGCUGACUAAAAAAUAAGAUCCUAAAAACCUAACAAUGUACCCAUGAAGGCAGAACCGUUGUGAGACGCCAGAGUGGAGAUUAAGUAAUACGAAUUAAAAUGAAUACUUGUGGGACGGAUCGCUGGCACCGCUACAGUGAGUUGAAAGAUGAAAUUCUUAAGAGGUCUCUGGCUCUAGCCUGCCCCAUUUGAACCUGUGGAGGGAAGAAGCCAGUGGGAUCUAUUCGAUGCAGUCACAUGAGAACAAAUAAAGAGCUCUAGUGGCAUUCCCGCAACAUACAUACACAAUGUGACCACAUUGGGAAAGGGUAUAAAAGUCUAGUGACACCCGUACCCCAAGAUCAUCUUCGGGGUCCUGACAUGUUUAAGUUUAAAUAGAGAAUGGUCCUGGUUGUAGUCCACUUGUAAAAACAGUCGCAACUCCUUUCCUGCCUCAGCCUGCAGCGAUCACAGGAGCUGUCCAGGGAGCAGCACCUCCUCUCCAGCCUUUCCCAAAAACAGCUCAGCCGCACAUUGAUGGCACCUCAACCUGUGUGGCCUGUGGCCUGGAAGAUCUUCCCAUCCUAACCCUUGGGCCCAACGCAGGGAAAGAGGGCUUUUAAAAAGCUAUCAAUCCCUGAACAGGGAAACCCACCAAUCCCUGAGCUCCCCCAAGCUCAGGACUUGAAAUCCUACCAAUCCUCAAUCCGGAAAUCUCUGUGGGGGGUCCCCUUCCGCCCCCCCCCCCAAAGCUCCGCCCCUAGCUGUGUAAAUCCUGCUCUUGGUUCAACUUCUUGCUGAUCACUCCUGGGAGCAGAGGCAGCCACCCCUGGAUUUGUCCCUCGUCUCCCUGGAUUCAUCCUUCCACUAAAUGUCUUUCAUGAGAUUUGCUGUCUGGUGGAACUCUCUUAUCAGAAGCAGCCAAGAAGCAAUGAAGAGAAGGGAAGAAGAAGAAAAGGGGAGCAAGGCUGAGUGAGCCUCGUGAGCAACUCGGCUCAGCUGGGGACACCCUCUCCUGGGAGCUGCAAUGCCUCUGCUGAGGAGACUUCCUCUCAGAGCUGUGUGGUUCCUGGGCCGAGUGUCUCAGGAUGCUCUUCCAUCGGGAUAACCUCCCCUCUGAGCAGUGUGGCUCCUGGGUUCCUGAGUCCCAGGAUACACUUCCAGACUGGUCAAAAUGUGAACCUGCCCAUCAUCAAAGAUCCAGUCUCUUGUAGAAAGAAGAUGGACCGGUAUGAUGUCAGAACUGUGUGAAAUCUCUUUCCCGGACCUAAGUUUCCCCACUGGCUGGCACCAGAUCCCUUUAGCAUAUUUUCAUCCCUGUCAGGAAAGUUAAAGAACCAAAAAUGAUAGUGUAGAUAGAUAUCGCCAGUUUUCCAAUCAAGAAAUUCAAAGCCAAGCAAAGUGUGGACAUUCACCAACUCUCCUGGCUUUUGAGACUUUAUAGGUGGCCUCUCUGCUCUCUGGGUGCCUUUCUUUAGCAACACAGAAGUGACCUUAGAAAAGAUCUUGCCAAAGGUUCCUAGUGCUAGAGAGUGACACGGCCGUGGCCUCUAGACGCAAACUUUCCAAUGUGAUUGUAUUUCUUAGAUUGCGCGGAAGGUUGAUAAUCAGUAAACUGUUCUUAAUCGC
ensembl:antisense